ensembl:lncRNA
CAGAGACGCACACAAAUAACGUCGGAAAUUAAACAAAAGGAAUUGAAUGGUGUGCGUUCACCAGUGAGAAUGGGGAUGUGCCCAAAACAAAGGGCUGGGCUACGACAACACAUACUCCUCUACACACCUGCCAACCUUCUGGCCAUCGAGACUUUAUUGCAGUUCAAGCAGGUUGAUUGUGAAUUCUCUCUCACGAACAUCCGAGCAUCUCCAGCCAACAGGAUGACCCGCGCUGUCUUGUCCAUCCUGGUGAUCUUUGUGUGUCUUGCACCGAUGCUGGAGGUCAACAGCACACAGGAUGACUUCAAGAUGUUUAUUGAAGAUGUCGAAUUGUACAUCAAUUCCUUGAAGGAAGAAGAUUUGGAGAUGAUUGCCAACAUCCUCAUAGACAAGCAAAUUCGUAUAACGGACAAUAUAUUGAACCACAUACAAGACAUUGGGCCUGAGCUUGCGGAAGUCAAGAAGCUACUUGAAGCAAUGAUGGAGAUUAUCCCUGAACUAGAAGCUAAAUGGCUCAAGUCCCCUGAAGACUAUAAGCUUUUUAGGGAGUACAUCCACAAGGCAAUCAAGGGACUCAAAGUCUUCCAUGAAACCAUGGUGAUCAAAGAUGAAUUAUAAUCACACCUUCUUAACCUUAGCAUUAGUUGAUGAAUAAAGCAGCGAGGUUUCUGGCUGCUUUAUUUGUUGUUUUUGUGGUUAUAUUCAGGAUUAACUGAGUGAACAUCUGUACAAAUGUCAUGAUGUUUUGGGUUUUGGGUCUUUCUUUUCACAAUAUCUGUUCUGUCUGCGUUUUUAUAAUGUAAACUCUCCUUAAUUACUGGUAAAUAUGCAGGUGUGGACGCUCAAUGCUUUGCAAAACCAUAA